rnacentral:rRNA from 1 species
GGAGUUAGCCGGUGCUUCUUCUGCGAGUAACGUCACAGAUGUAAGGUAUUAACUUACACCCUUUCCUCCUCGCUGAAAGUGCUUUACAACCCGAAGGCCUUCUUCACACACGCGGCAUGGCUGCAUCAGGGUUUCCCCCAUUGUGCAAUAUUCCCCACUGCUGCCUCCCGUAGGAGUCUGGGCCGUGUCUCAGUCCCAGUGUGGCUGAUCAUCCUCUCAGACCAGCUAGGGAUCGUCGCCUAGGUGAGCCUUUACCUCACCUACUAGCUAAUCCCACCUGGGCUUAUCCAUCAGCGCAAGGCCCGAAGGUCCCCUGCUUUCCCCCGUAGGGCGUAUGCGGUAUUAGCAGUCGUUUCCAACUGUUAUCCCCCACAAAUGGGCAAAUUCCCAGGCAUUACUCACCCGUCCGCCGCUCGUCAUCUUCAAAAGCAAGCUUUUGAAAUGUUACCGCUCGACUUGCAUGUGUUAGGCCUGCCGCCAGCGUUCAAUCUGAGCCAGAAUCGAAACCCUCGACGUCGAGACGGGCGGUCGUCGACGACGGCGACUAG